rnacentral:rRNA from 1 species
AUUGAACGCUGGCGGCAGGCCUAACACAUGCAAGUCGAACGGUAACAGGGAUCAGCUUGCUGAUUCGCUGACGAGUGGCGGACGGGGGAGUAAUGUCUGGGAAACUGCCUGAUGGAGGGGGAUAACUACUGGAAACGGUAGCUAAUACCGCAUAACGUAGCAACACCAAAGAGGGGGACCUUCUGGCCUCUUGCCCUCUGAUGUGCCCAGAUGGGAUUAGCUAGUAGGUGGGGUAACGGCUCACCUAGGCGACGAUCCCUAGCUGGUCUGAGAGGAUGACCAGCCACACUGGAACUGAGACACGGUCCAGACUCCUACGGGAGGCAGCAGUGGGGAAUAUUGCACAAUGGGCGCAAGCCUGAUGCAGCCAUGCCGCGUGUAUGAAGAAGGCCUUCGGGUUGUAAAGUACUUUCAGCGGGGAGGAAGGGAGUAAAGUUAAUACCUUUGCUCAUUGACGUUACCCGCAGAAGAAGCACCGGCUAACUCCGUG